rnacentral:lncRNA from 1 species
UCCGCGGGAAAUAGAAUUCAAAUCUGUGUCAGAUUGUUGAGCUUCGGACAUGUGUUUUUUAAACCAAUCGGCAAAUUGUUUGAAGUGUAAAUUUUCCAGACGGAGCUGUGUGUGUUUUGGAAACAUAACUUUCAAUUGCUUCAAGUGUUUAUUUCGAUAUGGUUCGACACUUUCAAGGUCAAACAAUAUACAUUGAUGCAACUGUUUCUGUUGUAAAGUAGUCAACAUUAUAUCAG